CUGUCAAGCUCUCCCUAUUGUGGGAGGAGCCUGUCAACCUCUCCUGGCUGUGGGAGGAGCCUGUGAAGCUCUGCCCCGCCCCUCUUGGCAUCUGGCCUUUACCUUCCAGAGAUUUCUACCCUGCCCUGUUAGAGAAGGCACUCGCAGCGGCAACGGGGGUCACGGGACGUUUCUGGAGCCGGAUCCUGGACUGAGCAGCUUCCUGGAUAUCCAGUUCUCUGCACGGGGGUGCUCAGGGAUGUUUUACUUGGUACCAUUCUCGGCAUCUUCCCUGCAUCUGGUGCUGUGCACUGCUGAAGAAAACAGCUUCUAAGUUAAAAAAUGGACCACGGGGCUGGGGGUGUAGCUCAGCUGGUAGAGUGUCUGCCCAGCAUGCAGGAAGCCCAGAGUUUCGUCCUCAGCACCGUACGGUGGUGCAUGCCCGCGGUACCCACUUGAAAAGCGAGGAGAAGCAGUGUCCAAGUUCUUCCCUGACAACGUAAUGCAGAAAUGGAGGCUCAUGGAGGACAAGACACCUGACAGAGGUCACCCAGGAAGCACGGCGGAGAAUCGCCAUUUCUGAAGCCCAGAAACGCCAUCAUUUGCUCAGGCUUUCCAGCGGAAGGGUUUGCAGCUGGGUGUCCCCCUCAGCAGGCCAAAAGGUCCCUCUACCCUUCCCGAUGUCACCUUUCCUUGGAGCUUGCCUAUGUUCUGGCUGCCGAGUGUUCCUGUCUUUUACUGUUAAUCUGGGCAAUGUCAUCAUUGGUUAGGCGGCCGUGGUGUGAGGACGGUGACGGGAAAGCCCUGGAGCCGGGGCUGUGGCUUGGUGGAGGGCCCACUCUAGUUUCUGCAAUGACACAAAGCCAGGAUGACUGCAAAGUACGUGGGCAGGCCCGCCUUGACACCUGCAGCGCGUCAGCGGGCCACGUAAACAGCCUUUUAAUCUCCCUUGCGUUAACUAUCCAGUUUCAGAGCCGAGAGUUGGCUGGGACCAGGCGAGGCUGUUGCCAGGUCCUCGGGAAGGGCUCAAGGUCAUAAGAGGUGGCGCCUGAGCUGGCUGGGGGCCAGGCCUGGGCCUGGGGGAAUCACAUAGUGGGGCCAGCCUGACAGAGACAAUAUGGAGCCGGCAGGUUUGUCUCUGAGCCUGGCGAAAGCAGGGAAGCAGGGAGGGAAAGGCGGGGCCAGAGGGGAUCCUGGGGCGUCCGGGCAGUGCCUGAGAAGGAAGGUCCCUGUGCUCGCAGAGGCCGGUCCCUGAGCUGCACGCAGGGCCAGCACAUGGGGCUCUCCAGGCCUAGCUUGGGCUUCUCUAUAUUCAAGAUCCUGGCUGCUUUAGCCUUAACAGCUCAAGAAGAAAUGGCUUGGAGAGGAGCGGCCAGGCUUCCAAGUGACAAAAGGACCUCUUGUUCCUGCCUGUUCCAGCGUCUCCGCCCAUUGUUGCUUCGCAGCUACCCGCCCCCUUCCCAGGCUGCACCCCUCCACGCCCCCUACUUUAUGCCCCCUUACCCCUCCCCCAGAAUGUGCGCGCGCACGCGCGCGGGCCUGCACACACACACACACACACACACACAUCCACACACACACCACCACACACCACACCACACACACACAUACACACACUACACACCACACACACACACACACACACACCUACCUGGGCUUCACACGCAAUAGUAAGUAGAUUGCCCUCCCACAGCCUGGCCUGGUUAUCCUUUCCAAGUUGCUAAGUGCCUGUGUGAGGGCUUUCUGAGAGAGCUAUUAGGUAAGCAAGCUCACACGACUCCCAAAGCCAUUUGUGGAGUCUAGCUCAGCGGUACAGAACCUGCCACCUUCCCGGAGGUCCUGGGCUUUCAUCAUCACGAGGGACUGGGCAAACUUACAAGAGGGCACUCACCUGUGGAUUUAGUCUUCAUAAAACCCCCAAGAGAGAGGGUGGACACAGCUCAUUUCUCCCUGUCCCCAGAGGCUAGGACAGAACAUGCCGACCAGACCAACAGCAGAUGCACCACAGAUCUCUCCCAGAGGAAGGACCCAGGUUUGCUUUCUUGCACAGGUGACUUUUUAACCAACGGCAUCCAUCCAUCCCCAGACCCUCGGGUCAAUCACCGGGUGCCAGUAUUUCACAGUCCCCAGUCAGGCUGAGAUGGCAGCAGAAUUACAGAGAGCUCAGUCACCUCUCUGAAUGGAAGCCUGAACUUAGCUAUUUCUCUUCAGUGACUCAGUCCACGACACAGGGUCUCAGGUAGCCUCGGUCUCAAACUCGCUGGGCACCUGAAGAUGAUCUUGGCCUUCCAGCCAUCCUGCCUCUUCCUGACAAGUGCCAGGGUUGCAGUGUGGAUUGGCACACCUGAUCUCUGUGGCUCUGGGGGUUCUGGCUUUGUGUAGACUAGGCAAGCCCUCGAUGUACGGCCACAUCCCCAGCCUCCUUGCAUUUGAGACAGAGCCUCACUCUGUAGCCAAGGUUGGCCUACAAUCCAGGAUAUAACCCAACUUGAUCUAGAGCUCACGUGAGUUUUCCUCCCCUGCCUCGGUCUCCUGAGAGCUGAGGUUGCAGACAGGAGCCACCAUGUCACACCUGACAAAUAAAAAGUUGUUGUUUUUAGUGACUCAGUCUCACUAAGUCUCUCUGGCUGGCCAGAAUAUUCUAUGUAGACCAGAUUGGCCUUGAACCCUGCUUCCACUUCUCAAGUGGAGAGUUAAAGGCCUAGCCUGACCCAAAGCUUGCUGGUGGUUUGUUUGCUUUUUUUUUUUUUUUUUUUUUUUUUUUUGAGACAGGGUUCUCUGUGUAGUCCUGGCUGACCUAGAACUAUGUAGUCAGGCUAGCCUCAAAUUUAAGAGAUCUUCCUGGUUUUGCCUCCCUGGUUCUGGGAUUAAAGGAGUGUGGCACAACCACCACCACCACCACCACCACCACUACCACCAAUUUGAAAAUGUGUAGGCCAGGCUGGCCCUAACUCCUGAUUCUCCUGCCUCUGCAUCUGUCAGCAAAUCCUACCAGUGUGCACCUCUACAACUGGUCCAAAGCUCUUAAAAAAAAAAAUGGUGCUAGGCAGUGGUGUCGCACACCUCUAAUCCCAGCACUUGGGAGGCAGAGGCGGAUGGAUUUCUGAGUUCAAGGCCAGCCUGGUCUAGAGAGUGAGUUCCAGGACAGCCAGGGCUAUACAGAGAAACCCUGUCUCGGAAAAAAAAAAAAAAAAAGGCUAUUGGUUUGUAUUUACUUUGUAGAUAGUACUAGGUUUCAAGAGGAAAAUGUCAUACAGCUUUAUACUCCUGACUAUGUUUAUUUGCACACUGGCAUGUCCCCUUCCAGUCCUUGUCCACUAGCUCCAGCAUUGCCCUAGGUAGCUUUGCUUCUGCUAGAGACACGACUUUACGAAUCUGUAUAAAACCGGAUCUACACAUGAGUUUCCCUCUAAAUGACAUUUUUUAAAUCUCUUUGCAUA